UACGUAGGGGGCGAGCGUUGUCCGGAAUCAUUGGGCGUAAAGCGCGUGUAGGCGGCCCGAUAAGUCCGCUGUGAAAGUCCAGGGCUCAACCCUGGGAUGCCGGUGGAUACUGUCGGGCUCGAGUCCGGAAGAGGCGAGUGGAAUUCCUGGUGUAGCGGUGAAAUGCGCAGAUAUCGGAAGGAACACCGGUGGCGAAAGCGGCGCGCUGGAUCCCUACUGACGCUGAGGCACGAAAGCCAGGGGAGCAAACGGG
rnacentral:rRNA from 1 species